CCAAAACUGGUAGCAGUUUCAAAUUCCAUUUCAUUUGUCAAUCCUAAAGCACCUGUAUAUCCGCGCCUUGCUCAGGGGAAGUCUUGGGAUGAGAUGACAGUUACCUGGACAAGUGGCUAUGACAUAAAUGAAGCUGUCCCAUUUGUUGAGUGGAGUAUGAAGGGGCAAUUUCCAGUUCGCUCCCCAGCUGGAACAUUGACUUUUACUAGAAACAGCAUGUGUGGUUCACCUGCAAGGACGGUUGGCUGGCGUGAUCCUGGUUUCAUUCACACAAGUUUCUUAAAGAACUUGUAGCCGAACACUGUGUACACUUACAGGAUGGGCCAUAUCUUAUCAGAUGGUUUAAUUAUCCGGAGCAAGUUAUAUUCAUUCAAAUCAUCCCCAUAUCCUGGACAGGACUCAUUACAGCGAGUUAUUAUAUUUGGUGACUUGGGAAAGGGAGAGCGUGAUGGCUCAAAUGAGUAUAGUAAUUAUCAACCAGGUUCGCUGAAAACUACUGACCAACUCAUCAAGGACUUGGAUAAUAUUGACAUAGUUUUCCAUAUUGGAGACACAUCAUAUGCAAAUGGAUAAAUCUCGCAAUGGGACCAAUUCACUUCACAGGUGGAGCCCAUUGCAUCAACUGUCCCAUAUAUGACUGGAAGUGGUAAUCACGAGCGCGAUUGGCCAAAUAC